rnacentral:rRNA from 1 species
UACGUAGGUGGCAAGCGUUGUCCGGAUUUAUUGGGUUUAAAGGGUGCGUAGGCGGUUCUGUAAGUCAGUGGUGAAAUCCGGCAGCUCAACUGUCGAUGUGCCAUUGAUACUGCAGAACUUGAGUACAGACGAGGUAGGCGGAAUUGACGGUGUAGCGGUGAAAUGCUUAGAUAUGACAUAGAACACCGAUAGCGAAGGCAGCUUGCUACACAAUUAUUGACGCUGAGGCUCGAAAGCGUGGGGAUCAAACAGG